GUGGGGAAUCUUGCGCAAUGGACGAAAGUCUGACGCAGCGAUUCCGCGUGGAGGAUGAAGCAUCAUGGUGUGUAAACUCCUUUUCUGGUGGAAGACGACUGACGGUACACCAGGAAUAAGGGACGGCUAACUACGUGCCAGCAGCCGCGGUAAUACGUAGGUCCCGAGUGUUAUCCGGAAUUACUGGGCGUAAAGCGUCUGUAGCCGGAUGUAUAAGUCUGUUUUCAAAUCCUAUGGCUCAACCAUAGAAAGGGAAUAGAUACUGUAUAUCUAGAGUUUGUUGGGGGUUAGUGGAAUUUCCGGUGGAGCGGUGAAAUGUGUUGAUAUCGGAAGGAACGCCAAAAGCGAAAGCAGCUAACUACAGCAAAACUGACGGUGAGAGACGAAAGCUUGGGUAGCAAACGGGAUUAGAUACCCUGGUAGUCC
rnacentral:rRNA from 1 species